rnacentral:snRNA from 1 species
AUGUGCUUGCUUCAUCUGCCCAUAUGGACUCAAACUGGGACAAUAUUGAGAAGAUUAGCAUGGACCCUGCUCAAAAAUGGAAAGCAAAUUCAUGAAGUGUUCUAUAUUCCU